AAUAUGCAUAUUUCAAGUUCUCUGGAAGGGGUUUUAGCUCAACCUGUGGUGCCUUCACAAUAGAGGGAACAAGCUUAUUAGUAGAUAAUGGAAGAGGCUCAAAAAUAGAGUUAAACUUACCUCUUUGGGGAGGCAAGGCCUCAAGCAUAUUCACAGCUUCAAGUACAGCUGUGUUCCCUUCUUCAUUCACAGUUUUGGGGCUUUGGAUGAGUGCCCUCU
rnacentral:lncRNA from 1 species